GUCCAGACUCCUACGGGAGGCAGCAGUGGGGAAUAUUGCACAGUGGGGGGAACCCUGAUGCAGCGACGCCGCGUGGGUGAAGGAGCACCUCGGUGCGUAAAGCCCUAUCAGCAGGGAAGAAGAAAUGACGGUACCUGAGUAAGAAGCACCGGCUAAAUACGUGCCAGCAGCCGCGGUAAUACGUAUGGUGCAAGCGUUAUCCGGAUUUACUGGGUGUAAAGGGAGCGCAGGCGGCACGGCAAGCCUGAUGUGAAAGCCCGCGGCCCAACCGCGGGACUGCAUUGGGAACUACCGGGCUGGAGUGCCGGAGAGGUAGGCGGAAUUCCUAGUGUAGCGGUGAAAUGCGUAGAUAUUAGGAGGAACACCAGUGGCGAAGGCGGCCUACUGGACGGUGACUGACGCUGAGGCUCGAAAGCGUGGGGAGCAAACAGGAUUAGAUACCCGGGUACG
rnacentral:rRNA from 1 species